rnacentral:rRNA from 1 species
UAGGGAAUCUUCCACAAUGGACGAAAGUCUGAUGGAGCAACGCCGCGUGAGUGAAGAAGGUUUUCGGAUCGUAAAGCUCUGUUGUUGGUGAAGAAGGAUAGAGGCAGUAACCGGUCUUUAUUUGACGGUAAUCAACCAGAAAGUCACGGCUAACUACGUGCUAG